GAUGAACGCUGGCGGCGUGCCUAAUACAUGCAAGUCGAGCGAACAGACGAGGAGCUUGCUCCUCUGACGUUAGCGGCGGACGGGUGAGUAACACGUGGAUAACCUACCUAUAAGACUGGGAUAACUUCAGGAAACCGGAGCUAAUACCGGAUAAUAUAUUGAACCGCAUGGUUCAAUAGUGAAAGACGGUUUUGCUGUCACUUAUAGAUGGAUCCGCGCCGCAUUAGCUAGUUGGUAAGGUAACGGCUUACCAAGGCAACGAUGCGUAGCCGACCUGAGAGGGUGAUCGGCCACACUGGAACUGAGACACGGUCCAGACUCCUACGGGAGGCAGCAGUGGGGAAUCUUCCGCAAUGGGCGAAAGCCUGACGGAGCAACGCCGCGUGAGUGAUGAAGGUCUUCGGAUCGUAAAACUCUGUUAUUAGGGAAGAACAAAUGUGUAAGUAACUAUGCACGUCUUGACGGUACCUAAUCAGAAAGCCACGGCUAACUACGUG
rnacentral:rRNA from 1 species